GGAGAGGUGGCAGAGUGGUUGAAUGCGCUAGUCUCGAAAACUAGUAUACUUGUAAGGGUAUCGAGAGUUCGAAUCUCUCUCUCUCCGCCA
rnacentral:tRNA from 1 species